CCUACGGGAGGCAGCAGUGAGGAAUAUUGGUCAAUGGGCGCGAGCCGGAACCAGGCAAGUAGCGUGAAGGAUGACAGCCCGAGGGGUUGUAAACUUCUUUUAUAGGGGAAUAAAGUGAAGUACGUAUACUGCUUUGCAUGUACCUUAUGAAUAAGGAUAGGCUAACUCCGUGCCAGCAGCCGCGGUAAUACGGCGGAUCCGAGCUUUAUCCGGAUUUAUUGGGUUGAAAGGGAGCGUUGGCGGGUUGUUAAGUCAGUUGUGAAAGUUUGCGGCUCAACCGUAAAAUUGCAGUUGAUACUGGCAUCCUUGAGUUCAGUUGAGGUAGGCGGAAUUCGUUGUGUAGCGGUGAUAUGCUUUGAUAUCACGAAGAACUCCGAUUGCGAAGGCAGCCUGCUAGACUGUAACUGCCGCUGAUGCUCGAAAGUGUGGGUAUCAAACAGGAUUAGCUACCCCAGUAGUC
rnacentral:rRNA from 1 species